UAAUACGUAGGGUGCGAGCGUUAAUCGGAAUUACUGGGCGUAAAGCGUGCGUAGGCGGUUCGUUGUGUCUGUGGUGAAAGCCCCGGGCUUAACCUGGGAAUGGCCAUGGAAACUGGCGAGCUGGAGUGUGGCAGAGGAGGGUGGAAUUCCGCGUGUAGCAGUGAAAUGCGUAGAGAUGCGGAGGAACACCGAUGGCGAAGGCAGCCCUCUGGGCUAACACUGACGCUGAGGCACGAAAGCGUGGGGAGCAAACAGGAUUAGAUACCCUGGUAGUCCACGCCCUAAACGAUGUCAACUAGUUGUCGGGUCUUCAUUGACUUGGUAACGAAGCUAACGCGUGAAGUUGACCGCCUGGGGAGUACGGUCGCAAGAUUA
rnacentral:rRNA from 1 species